rnacentral:tRNA from 1 species
GCCCCCAUAGCCCAAUUGGCAGAGGCAGCGGACUUAAAAUCCGCUCAGUCCGGGUUCGAGUCCCGGUGGGGGCA